GCCUGGGUGGCUCAGUGGGUUGAAUUUCUGACUUCGGCUCAGGUCAUGAUCUCACGGUUCGUGGGUUCGAGCCCCACAUCAGGCU
rnacentral:tRNA from 1 species